rnacentral:rRNA from 1 species
CCAAUAGCGUAUAUUAAAGUUGUUGCAGUUAAAAAGCUCGUAGUUGAAUUUUGGAUUCUACCAAUCGGUCCAUCUUUUAGAUGAGUACUGGUUGUGUGGGGUCUAUCCGCCUGGUGAUACGUAAUGUCCUUUAUUGGAUGUUGCGGGUAGUCAGGACCUUUACCUUGAAAAAAUUAGAGUGUUUAAAGCAGGCUUAUGCCGGAAUACAUUAGCAUGGAAUAAUAGAAUAGGACGAAGUUGUUUUAUUUUGUUGGUUUCUAGGACAACCGUAAUGAUUAAUAGGGAUAGUUGGGGGCAUUAGUAUUCAAUUGUCAGAGGUGAAAUUCUUGGAUUUAUUGAAGACUAACUACUGCGAAAGCAUUUGCCAAGGAUGUUUUCAUUAAUCAAGAACGAAAGUUAGGGGAUCGAAGACGAUCAGAUACCGUCGUAGUCUUAACCAUAAACUAUGCCGACUAGGGAUCGGGCGAUGUUGUUUCCAUGACUCGCUCGGCACCUUAUG